AUUGAACGCUGGCGGAAUGCUUUACACAUGCAAGUCGAGCGGCAGCACGGGGGCAACCCUGGUGGCGAGCGGCGAACGGGUGAGUAAUACAUCGGAACAUGCCCAGUCGUGGGGGAUAACACUUCGAAAGAAGUGCUAAUACCGCAUACGUCCUGAGGGAGAAAGCGGGGGAUCUUCGGACCUCGCGCGAUUGGAGUGGCCGAUGUCAGAUUAGCUAGUUGGUGGGGUAAAGGCCUACCAAGGCAACGAUCUGUAGCUGGUCUGAGAGGAUGAUCAGCCAAACUGGGACUGAGACACGGCCCAGACUCCUACGGGAGGCAGCAGUGGGGAAUUUUGGACAAUGGGGGCAACCCUGAUCCAGCCAUUCCGCGUGAGUGAAGAAGGCCUUCGGGUUGUAAAGCUCUUUCGGCAGGAACGAAACGGCGAGCUCUAACAUAGCUUGCUAAUGACGGUACCUGAAGAAGAAGCACCGGCCAACUACGUGCCAGCCGCCGCCGUAAAAC
rnacentral:rRNA from 1 species